rnacentral:rRNA from 1 species
AUUGAACGCUGGCGGCAGGCCUAACACAUGCAAGUCGAGCGGAUGAGGGGAGCUUGCUUCCUGAUUCAGCGGCGGACGGGUGAGUAAUGCCUAGGAAUCUGCCUGGUAGUGGGGGACAACGUUUCGAAAGGAACGCUAAUACCGCAUACGUCCUACGGGAGAAAGUGGGGGAUCUUCGGACCUCACGCUAUCAGAUGAGCCUAGGUCGGAUUAGCUAGUUGGUGGGGUAAAGGCUCACCAAGGCGACGAUCCGUAACUGGUCUGAGAGGAUGAUCAGUCACACUGGAACUGAGACACGGUCCAGACUCCUACGGGAGGCAGCAGUGGGGAAUAUUGGACAAUGGGCGAAAGCCUGAUCCAGCCAUGCCGCGUGUGUGAAGAAGGUCUUCGGAUUGUAAAGCACUUUAAGUUGGGAGGAAGGGCUGUAGGCUAAUAUCCUGCAGUUUUGACGUUACCGACAGAAUAAGCACCGGCUAACUUCGUGCCAGCCGCCGCCGUAAGAC